AGUGAACGCUGGCGGCGUGCCUCAUACAUGCAAGUCGAAGGAAGUGGCGCACGGGUGAGUAAUAUAUAGCUAAUCUGCCCCUUGCUGGAGGACAACAGUUAGAAAUGACUGCUAAUACUCCAUAGCAAGGGAUGAGACUAUAUCGGAUCAGCUAGUCGGUGGGGUAACGACCUACCGAGGCUAUGAUGCGUAACUGAUCUGAGAGGACGCUCAGUCACAUUGGAACGGAGAGACGGGCCAAACAUCUACGGGAGGCAGCAGUAGGGAAUAUUGCGCAAUGGGGGAAGCCCUGACGCAACAACGCCGCGUGGAGGAUGACACUUUUCGGAGCGUAAACUCCUUUUGUUAAGUAAGCGGUACCUAACGAAUAAGCACCGGCUAACUCCGUGCCAGCAGCCGCGGUAAUAC
rnacentral:rRNA from 1 species